rnacentral:lncRNA from 1 species
CUUGAAAUUGGAUGCUCCUAAAUAUAACACGGGAGAUGAUCCAUUUGAAUACCUCAGAUCAGUUAGGAUGAUAACCAGUGAGUUGGGAGCUGAUGAUAGUAGGGCCAUUGAGAUGGCAGGGUUUACACUCAAAUGCAAGAAGGCCAGAGAAUGGUUCAAGAAUUAUGUGGAACCCAGGGUGAACAGUAUGUCUUGGGGAGAGUUUGCCAAUGAGUUUGCAGGGUGGGCUUUUCCUGACAGUUCUAGGGAGAU